AGGGGGUAUAGUUUAACGGUAGAACGUAUGCUUUGCACGCAUAAUGUUGUUGGUUCAACUCCGACUACCUCCAC
rnacentral:tRNA from 1 species